UACGAAGGGGGCUAGCGUUGUUCGGAAUUACUGGGCGUAAAGCGCGCGUAGGCGGUUAUUCAAGUCAGAGGUGAAAGCCCGGGGCUCAACCCCGGAACUGCCUUUGAAACUAGAUGACUAGAAUCUUGGAGAGGUCAGUGGAAUUCCGAGUGUAGAGGUGAAAUUCGUAGAUAUUCGGAAGAACACCAGUGGCGAAGGCGACUGACUGGACAAGUAUUGACGCUGAGGUGCGAAAGCGUGGGGAGCAAACAGG
rnacentral:rRNA from 1 species